GGACGUUCGAGGGUACGAACGAGGGUGACACCCUGCAGUCUGACGCGGGACUUCGACCCCCGUGCUUCGACGGGGAUUAAGUGGCGACUCUCUCAAUCUCUCGGACCCGCAAUCUCGCCGGAGAGCAGCCGCUCGUCGGAUUCGCGAUCGCGGAAUACGGUGCGCGAGUUCGCGUCGCGAACUAUGGAAAUUCGGGAGAAGAUUCGUGGCGAAUGCAAACACCUUGAUUAUCCCUCGCACAUUUUCGUUGGAUUAAUUACGAUCGAUAUCGAUUAGGAUGCACUUGAUAAAGAACGUUUCGAAAAGGAAGACGACGAACCUUUGUGACCAAUUUUAUUUCCGCAGCAAGCUAGAAAAAACUCACGUGUAAUGCGAUUUUUCGCGUGGGAAAAAAUAGUUUACGAAUUGGCUCCGGCAGUUGAAAUACGGUUUCAUUUCCUUUUUCUCACUUUAUGAUCCUCCCGAGUUAUCGAAUAUUCACGAGAGAGAAAGAGAGAGAUAGAGAUAAAGCUAAAUAAAGAAAAUAAAAGCAAGGCAACGCUCGAAAAGUCACCGCAUUUCUUUCCAUUCGAUUACGAGAUGUACGAAAUUUCAUUUGCGGAGGAGGGCAUUGGAGCGGAAAGACCUGCUGUUCGCCUGUCGAUCGCAUACAUCGGGAUUGUCAAAAUAUAAAUUGGAGUACGUUGAUCUCGGAAAGUGGUCAUCGCCUCUGUCGCGAGUGUUUCGUUAAUUAACAUGGGAACCGAUGCAAGGGGAGGCAAGAGACCGAUACAGGAAUGUCGCGGAAGGAGGAGUCGGCGGGGGGAAAAGGCAGAGUCAGUCACGGUAUAGGAAUACAAGCGGAAGAAAAAAUGGAGCUUGGAAUUCGACAAAAAACCAGAACGAGCCACCGAGACGAGUCGAGAUCUGCGAAAUAUCCCGAGUUGCAGUAGAGAUUCGAGAAGGCGAGUCUAAUCGUCCUAAGCACUCGUACGUUUUAAUCAGAUUGUUCGAAAAGAUUUGAAAAGCUUUUUCUAUCUGCAAUGACCGACAUUUUCCUAUUUACAACGACCGAUUCAAUUAGAAAUAUGUAGAAAUCAAUUGUGCGUUGCACAUUUUUUGCCAACCAAAGUUUCAAUCAUUUUUUUUUGACAUUGGCAUCAGGAUUUUUUUCUUUCUUGUUUUUUUUUUGUUGCUUAAUUUAAUUCGCCGGCAGUUUUGCUUUUAAUGCUCGCAGCGGUAAAUUAAAAAGUCGAAAACGCUUUGACAACCCAAACUAACAAAAGAGGAUUAACCACGAUGGCGAAUACGAUGGCAAGCAACGGCGAUGACGGUGGUAGCGUCGGCAACUUUUUUUCGAUAUAAAUAUGUAUGCCAACACAACUUUGCUAGCACAAACCACACCGUAAUCCGUGGCGCCGCUAAUGAAGAAAGAUCGAUGACAGAAACGAAGGGAAAAAAAAGACAGCGCCGGCACAAAGGGUGAUUCGUUUCAUUUUCAUGGGGGAGACGAACGUUUCGUAACUCGCUAGCAAUUUGCAGGCGUUUUGUCGUCGUGACGACGACGACGACGGAAGCGAUCUGUGCCACUCCCGUCGCCGCGCCGCGCUGCGCUGCCGUCGCACCACCGGGAUAUCUCGCGAUCUCCCGAUGGGAUAAAACAGCGUGAGUAGGGUGAAAAGGGGCCAGGAUGAGAAUUAGGGGGCGCGUCGGCCGACCAGCUGGAGGUAGGAAAAAUCGAAGAAACGAAGGGUCAAAUGCCACGUGAUGGAUAGCCCGCCAUAGGAGGUCCAAGCGUAUGAAAUUGAUCAGCCAGCCAGAAUCAUUCGAUUCUACUUCCUACUCGUCCUUUUCCUUUCCCCUAAUGUUGUCCAAUCCUCCUCCUUCUCUCUCUCUCUCUCUCUCUCUCUCUCUCUCUCUCUCUCUCUCUCUCUCUCUCUCUCUCUCUCUCUCUCUCUCUCUCUCUCGCCCGCUCUCGUUCGCGCUUGUCGAAACUCUCGCUCCUCCACCCUUUGUUUCUUUCGUACCAUUCAUUUUCCUUCCGCGUCGUACGACGUCGAUAACUCUGAUUCUCUCGGAUCCCGGACCACCUUCGCCUUGGCGGUGUUUUAUUUUCACGGUCCCGACCAAUGGCCGCAGUCCACGGCCGAUUGCCGAUGGCAAUGCUCUCGAGGAAAUUCAUGUAGCAUGUAAGAAAAAUUACGAUUCCUCCGCUUUUGCGCCGAACAGCCGGCUGCUUAACGAGGAAGAGAGACGUCGGCAAAUAUCGCGGCUUCUACAUGGUUUCCUUCGGAAAAGGAAAAAAAAAUGAAACACAAACUCGUUCUUUAUGCAAUCUCGUCUGAAUCCACGGUCCGAUGGUGGGUGCCGCGCACGCGAGAAUAAAUCUUACGUUUUAAUUCGAGAACACUCCCGAAGUCGAUUUAAAUCACGAAUAAAAUUCAUACGAAAUUUUCCAAGUAAUUUCCCAGCACGGUCCAAAAGCCAGUCUCAAAUACAGACUCGAUUUAUAAGUGCGAAUAAACUUUCUCGAGAUUAUAACGCCGUCUGCCGAUAAUAAUCUAGCGGUACUCUGAGUGAAAUCAAUUUCACGUUUCGAAGCGUCCGCGAGCUUCUGUUCCAAGUUGUGGCAAAUGCUCGAACGAUCGCGGAAAUGGGGACACCCUGUACACAACGAGGCGAUAACAGUUCGCGAGAGUUAUAGAGGGAGCGAAGUUAGUAAGCUCCGACCAGGGAACACAGAGGUUGAUAUAUAAGAUAGAGUUAAAUAGACAAGAGGGAGGGUAAGGGAAAAGAGAAUGCAAUGACGAGUGAAACGAGAAGAGAGAGGUCUGUUUGAAAGCGCGGAUGUAACGAGAAGACGAAGGAAGACGUAGCGAGAUCGCGGGUCGUCUGAUAGCGAUAAAUACCUAUCAAUUCCAGACACAGAAUUGCGACAAAGUUGCCUUUCUUCGUCGCCUUCUCGCUAAUAAAGCAGGAUCGAUACGACGAUUGGAGAAGAUACGCUCUCUUAAAUAUUCUGUCGUAUUUUGUAGCGAGCUUACAUAGGAGGCGUUCGCAACUUGUGCGUAAAGUACGAUACAUUCGGUAAGCAAUAGAUGGGAUUCGUGAGCUACUUCUGACUUAUUGUUAGCUACAGAAUCAGUAAGAACAAGUAGCGCGUCGUAAAGCUGCGUUAGGCCCGGAUACAAAGGAGGACAACAAAUAAAAGUGCUUUAUGUGUAACGCAAGGUGCGUACCCCCUUCCUCCCCCCCUCCUCCUUCCCCCGUUCAACUACUCGCUCGAGAUAUACUCCUCAGAAGAAGGAAAAAAGAGACAGGAAGCUUCGAAAGUUUGGCCAAGAAAGUUUGCAAAAGCACACUGCUGCCACCAAACGACCUUCGUCCUGCACACAGCUUCGAAUUUCAUUUUGGAACGUUGAAUCUUAUUAAGAAGUAAAGUCGUUUCGGAGAAAGUUGGCGAAUAUUGUGGACGGGGUUUCCUUAUAAAUCCGUGGCUCAGCGCGAUAUUUCUCGUUGGCCCCGAAAGCCUGCCUCGAAAACUCCAAUUUCGGAUGGAAGUGAUUACAAGGAUAUUGUCACCCGGAAAACUCUUACUGAGAGAAGUACUUACGUUAUUCCCUUGCUUAACUUAACGCUUUACGAUUCGUAAUAAGUGUCCGCUUGUUCUCGACGACGCGGCGAUUAAUAAUGAUCAAACCGGGAGCAAACUUUAUUGCCGCCUUCUGUUCAUCAUGCUUUGACCCCUUGACGAGACUUUUUUCAUUACUUUCUGUACUUUCAUUAAGUGCAAUGUUCACCAAAGAGUAUACUGCGAGGAGCAUCGCGCGCAUAAAAAUCGUUUAUCGAGUAAACUUUUCAAUGACUCGUGAAAUACUUUAUUGACGAUUGCCGAUACUUUGGACGCGAUGUACGCUACUAAACUUUCAUCAGUUUUUCCACUAUCCCAGCGAUUAUUAGCAAACUUGGUGAACUCAAACAAAUCUCUAUACAAUACGCGCUUAUUGUGAACAAAUCCAAAGUAUUUCAACAUAAACGAAUGCGUAAAAUGUCAUUUUAAACUAGUCGAUUUAAACUAAACGAAAUUGAGAAAAGGAAUAGAAUACAAAAGAAAUUUGAAGAAUUCUGAAAAAGGUCUAAAUUCUAAAGCAAACCAAAAUUUCAUAAAAGAUAUAUACAUACUCAUCUGAUAUAUACAUGCUCUCUUUUAUCUAAGAUUUAAUUACACUGUUUUUUAUAUGCGUCAAAUGGGAAUUUGAAAUUUUAUCAUUCUUAGUGUAAAUGAGGAUAUAGAUAUCCUCAUUUUUCAAGUCUAAUAAUCUUUAAAAAAAAUUCAAAAUAAGAUUAUAGAAAUGUUUUUAUAAUAGGGAUCUAUUGAAUUUUUCUUUGUCCGAUCGCACAAUAACUAUGACAUAUAUUCGAUUAAGUACUCUAUUUACGAUAAAAGAGGUUUUCUCUAAAUUUACUUUUAUACUCUACGCCAGGUCCAAGAAGAUUUCAAAUCGCCGGAAAAUAAUCCGUAAGUUACCAAAUUUGAUAAAGAGCACAUGAAAAAUAUUUUCAAGCUAAAAUCACUUGAGCUUAACGAGAUAAAAGCAAGUAAUUGAUUGCGUUUGAUCAUAAUGAGUGCUGCGACGAGUGAUCUCCGUCCCACUGUGAGAAACCUAAGGGUAAAACAAAGACUGUUCUUUUGUAUUUUUAACCAACUCCUAACAAAAGCUAGGAGUAGUUGUUAUUGGCUCUCCAGGACACACCGAGUUUCUUAACCAAGAGCCCGUUCUCUCUCUUUUCAUCUUUAUCAUCCUUUCUUUCUAUCCUCUCCAUUCCCCCUAUCGUAUCCCUAUCGAGCUCUAUCUUCCACUUUCGCUCUCUCGAUGAUGGAGAUUGAACGUAAUUUAUUUGCUAUUUUCUCAUCCCUUCGUUCUGCGUGGCAGGAAUUUAAUUUUCUGAGCGCUAUCUGCGCCCGUACGAUGAAUCUUUGUAUAAUACAAAACUCGCAAAUUUGCUCUACGACAUAGAGAAACUAUGACGUAAGAACUGCAUGUGUAUAAUAAUGUAUACAAAAUGGAAGUUGAUAAGUAAAAAGCAAUGAAAUAAAAAUAACGGUGUAUCCUACACGAAAUAAUGUAUAACACAAGUAAAAUAUCUCUAACAAUAUAAACAUCCAUUUAGUCUGUCAAGAUGUAUGUAUAUGUGCAAAAUUGUUAUUAAAUAUUAAACAACCUUUUUUUUGUAUAUAGAAGAUAUACACAUGCAUAAUUUAAAAAAAUAAAAAAAUUACUUACUGAAAGAUCAAAUGAAAUAUUUGAAUAUACAUUUGAUCGCUUCCGACUAAAUCGCAGUUAUAGUUAUCGAUUUAAUCACAUAAUUCACGAGAGAGAAUAAAACAAUAGAGCAAACAAAAUCUAAAGGCAUAAUGCACGCUAAUAAAAUUGCGUUUUGAUGAUUAAAGGAUAAGAAAAAUACUUUCCUUAAAUACGCUGCAGAUAGAGGAAUAGGUAGAGGAUGCGUCUAGCGUUUAUGGGGAUUGCCUAUAGCAGUAAAGCGUACGAUUUGAUAGGAACCAAUACAUUUGAGCUUAUCACCUUAUCGCCAAUGGCUAUACCGCGCUAGUAACACUCAAAGCGCGCGGG